GACGAACCGUGCAAACGUUAUUCGGAAUCACUGGGCUUAAAGGGCGCGUAGGCGGGUCAGCAAGUCAGGGGUGAGAUCCCACGGCUCAACCGUGGAAGUGCCUUUGAUACUGUUGAUCUCGAGGGAGGUAGGGGCGUGCGGAACUUCCGGUGGAGCGGUGAAAUGCGUAGAUAUCAAGAGGAACACCUGAGGUGAAGACGGGUUGCUGGGCCGACACUGACGCUGAGUGCGCGAAAGCCAAGGGAGCAAACGGG
rnacentral:rRNA from 1 species